GGCUCGAUGGUCUAGGGGUAUGAUUCUCGUUUUGGGUGCGAGAGGUCCCGGGUUCAAAUCCCGGUCGAGCCC
rnacentral:tRNA from 1 species